GCGUCAGAUGUGUAUAAGAGACAGGUGAGUCAUCGAAUCUUUGAACGCACAUUGCGCCCCUUGGUAUUCCGAGGGGCAUGCCUGUUCGAGCGUCAUUAUAACCACUCAAGCCUAGCUUGGUCUUGGGGUUCGCGUGCUCGCGGCCCUUAAAAUCAGUGGCGGUGCCGUCUGGCUCUAAGCGUAGUAAUUCUCUCGCUAUAGGGUCCCGGCGGUUACUUGCCAGAACCCCCACAUUCUUUAAGGUUGACCUCGGAUCAGGUAGGGAUACCCGCUGAACUUAAGCAUAUCAAUAAGCGGAGG
rnacentral:misc_RNA from 1 species